rnacentral:lncRNA from 1 species
AAAAAUAAAAGAAAGAGCAUUAUUUGGAAUAAAAGAAAGAGCAUUAUUUAUUCCCUUGACUCUUCAUUCUUCCCAGAUCUUGCUCAUUAACUCAACUAAUAGCUAUUGAGUAUCUACUCAAAAUUGCAGGUUACUAGCCAGAUACUUUCAUAUACAUUAUCUUUUAAUGCUUUUAGUAACCCUGCAAAGUAGCAAUUAUUAUCCCUUAAUAUCUUGUCCCAGAAACUACAUAUUUAAAAGUUCCAUAUGGUAAGGUGACUCUUGCUUGCCAAGGUUUUGUAGUCCUCCCGAUGGUGAGUUAAAGACUUCUCAGAUUUAGGCAGAAUAAGUUUCUUCUUGCUAUUGAUAAAGGGACCUUGAAGUUAGAAAUUCAUUUGCUAGUGUAAAAAUUGGUUUUGUUUUCUUUUGUUUCAAAUUAAUACAGGCUGGUCUUGAACUCCUGACCUCAUGAUCCAUCCACCUCAGCCUCCCAAAGUACUUGGAUUAUAGGCCUGAGCCACCACAACCGGCCUAUGUAUCUCUUUAUAGUUCUUACAAUGAUUUUCCGAUUACAAAAAACCUUCUCAUACAUAAGUUUUUACCAGCUAAAACAACAAAUAAAAACUAAUUGUAUCAUGCACACUUAAUUAUUAUGAAAACAGAAUUAGUUGUCACAAUAAAUAAGGGUCAUCAUAUAAUAUCUUGUCUAAACAAUACAUUUUUGAGAAUAAAAGAGAGUGAUGUUAUUAAUUAUGUCAGACAAACAGACAUAAACUGUGAAUAUCCCCAGAAAAACUGGACACUAUAAUUUUCCUAAUGACAACAUAAACCUUCAAUAC